rnacentral:rRNA from 1 species
AUUGAACGCUGGCGGCGUGCCUAACACAUGCAAGUCGAGCGGUAACAGGUGCAGCAAUACAUGCUGACGAGCGGCGAACGGGUGAGUAAUGCUUCGGAAUCUACCUUAUGGUGGGGAAUAACUAGCCGAAAGGUUAGCUAAUACCGCAUACGUCCUACGGGAGAAAGCAGGGGAUCGCAAGACCUUGCGCCAAAAGAUGAGCCGAAGUCGGAUUAGCUAGUUGGUAGGGUAACGGCCUACCAAGGCGACGAUCCGUAGCUGGUCUGAGAGGACGACCAGCCACAAUGGGACUGAGACACGGCCCAGACUCCUACGGGAGGCAGCAGUGGGGAAUAUUGGACAAUGGGGGAAACCCUGAUCCAGCGACGCCGCGUGUGCGAAGAAGGCCUGCGGGUUGUAAAGCACUUUUAGUGGGGAUGAAGUGUGCAGGGUUAAUACCUCUGCAUUUCGACCUAACCCACAGAAAAAGCACCGGCUAACUCUGUGCCAGCAGCCGCGGUAA